GGGGCUGGUGGGUGAGGUCCUCUCCUGCCGACCACCGCGACCUGCUCGCUGCUGAGUGUGUGCAGCGGCCCGAAGAGGCACGUCCAGCCCGGAUCUUGCAAGACAGCGAUAUCAGGUAUGAAACUGUUCUUCUGUUAUACUCUCUAUUUAGAUAUACUAUUAUAAACGGUGCAAAAUCUUGAUAUUAAUAGGUCAGCCUUAGAUGAAAGUUACAGCUGUUUGUGGACAUAAAAGAGAUGCUAGUGCGGAAGAAAUGAAGAGGACAUUGUUAAUUAGCUGUUACCAUCCACUGUUUUUACUGCUAGUUUGGUGUUUGUGCCUUAAGUGCAAAUCGUUGGUGAUACACUGUAGAUUUACAGUUUCCCCCCUGGGUUUGCUUAUGUUUUUGCCUUGAUAACUAGCUCAUUAUUCAUUUCUAUAUUUAGAAAUAGUAUACACAUCAUGUUGACUUACCUGCCAACUAAUCGUUGCAAAAGCUUCACGUGCAUAGGUACAUGGGCAUGAGAUGAGAAUCACAAUUGUUGUGGAGGAAGCGAAGAAUGUCUUGUAUUCUACUGUUGCCAUCCAUAUUCUUUUGGGUUGCACAACGCAAUAAGUGUUUCUCUCCGCAACGAAUAUAUUAGAUCGAGCAUCAUGUCAUGUACGCCAUAAGCUUUUGCUGUCUUCAUAGUCAAUGUCUACCGGUUCGAUCAUGCUUCUGUUUAUCAACUCAUUGAAGUAAACCUCUCCUAGCUCAAAUGGUCCAAUUUCUAGUUUACAUGAUACAUAAAACAUUCAGAUAUCCAUCUCCAUAUGAACUAGUAUUUCUUAAUUUUGUAAUCUUCUGGAUAUAUGCUUACAUAUAAUAAAUAAUGUGAAGGUAGAUCAUAGAACAACAACAUAAUCUUUAGUCUCAAGCAAGGUGGAGUAGACUAGAGAUAGAAUGCAAUAUGUGUCACAUACACAACAACAACAUGGAAAGUAGCAAAAACAUAGUAAAUGGAGCUCCUGCCUUGUAGAU
rnacentral:lncRNA from 1 species